UACGGAGGGUGCAAGCGUUAAUCGGAAUUACUGGGCGUAAAGCGUGCGUAGGCGGUUCGUUAAGUCUGUUGUGAAAGCCCCGGGCUCAACCUGGGAAUGGCAAUGGAUACUGGCGAGCUAGAGUGUGUCAGAGGAUGGUGGAAUUCCCGGUGUAGCGGUGAAAUGCGUAGAGAUCGGGGAGGAACAUCAGUGGCGAAGGCGGCCAUCUGGGACAACACUGACGCUGAGGCACGAAAGCGUGGGGGAGCAAACAGG
rnacentral:rRNA from 1 species